GAUGAACGCUGGCGGCGUGCUUAACACAUGCAAGUCGAACGUAAAGGCCCAAGCUUGCUUGGGUACUCGAGUGGCGAACGGGUGAGUAACACGUGGGUGAUCUGCCCUGCACUUCGGGAUAAGCCUGGGAAACUGGGUCUAAUACCGGAUAGGACGAUGGUUUGGAUGCCAUUGUGGAAAGUUUUUUCGGUGUGGGAUGAGCUCGCGGCCUAUCAGCUUGUUGGUGGGGUAAUGGCCUACCAAGGCGUCGACGGGUAGCCGGCCUGAGAGGGUGUACGGCCACAUUGGGACUGAGAUACGGCCCAGACUCCUACGGGAGGCAGCAGUGGGGAAUAUUGCACAAUGGGCGCAAGCCUGAUGCAGCGACGCCGCGUGGGGGAUGACGGCCUUCGGGUUGUAAACUCCUUUCGCUAGGGACGAAGCGUUUUGUGACGGUACCUGGAGAAGAAGCACCGGCUAACUACGUG
rnacentral:rRNA from 1 species